rnacentral:rRNA from 1 species
ACACAUGCAAGUACGAACGGUAGAGGGGCGAACCCUUCGAGAGUGGCGAACGGGUGAGUAAUAUAUCGGAACGUGCCCAGUCGUGGGGGAUAACGUAGCGAAAGUUACGCUAAUACCGCAUACGAUCUAAGGAUGAAAGCGGGGGACUCGCAAGAGCCUCGCGCGAUUGGAGCGGCCGAUAUCAGAUUAGGUAGUUGGUGGGUAAAGGCUCACCAAGCCAACGAUCUGUAGCUGGUCUGAGAGGACGACCAGCCACACUGGAACUGAGACACGGUCCAGACUCCUACGGGAGGCAGCAGUGGGGAAUUUUGGACAAUGGACGCAAGUCUGAUCCAGCCAUUCCGCGUGCAGGAUGAAGGCCCUCGGGUUGUAAACUGCUUUGUACGGAACGAAAAGGUUUCUAUUAAUACUAGGAGCUCAUGACGGUACCGUAAGAAUAAGCACCGGCUAACUACGUG